AAGAACCCAGAUUUAUAUGAUUGAUCUCUCUUGACUUAUGAUCCAAGAUAAAGAAAGGAGAUUACUUUAAUUAGAACAAAAAUUAUGCAAAUCUCCACAGUUUCCAUAAACCUGUUGUUGUUAGUAAUAGUACUUUCCUUGCUUGGCCUUGCAAUUGAAGCUCAGCAGCCUACUUAUCUGUACCACUCUUGUCCAAACACCACCACUUUCACCGUAAACAGCACUUACCAAGCCAACCGCAAUACCGUUUUAACAUCGCUGUCGUCUAACAGCACCCGUGGUGAUGGUUUCUACAACACAACCGCAGGCAGGAGCCCUGACAUGGUAUACGGUCUUUUCCUUUGCCGUGGGGAUCUUUCUACCAGCUUCUGCCAAGCGUGUGUCACCUUUGCCACCACCGAUAUUUCCCAACUUUGUCCCAACCAAACAACGGCGGUGGUUUGGUACGACCAGUGCCUCCUACGGUACUCGAAUCGAAAUAUCUUUUCCGUUGUGGCAGAAGAACCUGCAGUUAGAUUGCGUAACACUCAGAAUGCAAAUGGGACAGAAAUCCCUUUCGACCAGCUAGUGGCUGCCACAGUUGUAAUGAACAUGAACGAUAUAACAACCCAAACGGAAAAUAAACCCGCAGGUUCUAAAAAAUUUGCGACAAGAGAGACCAAACUUUCAAGUUUUCAAACACUGUACACGCUCGCCCAGUGUACACCGGACUUAUCAGGCAGUGCUUGUAGUAGAUGUCUGCAAGGAGCACUAGAAAGUCUUCCAACUGGAUGGCAAGGCGGAAGAGUGUUGAGUCCUAGCUGCAACGUCAGAUAUGAAAUUUACCCCUUCUAUAAUCUAACGGCAGUUUCACCUCAACCUCCUCCAGCCCCAGGUUUAUCCUUACUGUUAAUUGAUAAAUUUGAUUCUUUCCUUUUUCCUAUUUUAUAGUUCACGAAAAAAAGAAAACAAGAUUCACUACAUUCUCUUUUCUUUUUUUCUUUUUGGUCAGUAAUUUGUAAAUUAAUAUAUAGGUAAAGAACAAGCCCAUGUUUUCAUGAGGAUUAUAAUGAACUGAAUUGAGAAUAUCUAAUUCUGCUCUUAUUUAAUCAGAGGAAGAGAAACAAAACAAAUCAAACCGGAUUCCAGUACUUGUUGCAAGUUUAUCAGCAAUUUUUGGGCUGGCUGUGGUUUUUAUCUCUGGUUUCUUCAUCUGGAGGAGGAGAAACCGUCGAGGUACACAUCGGAGUGAUCUUUCUGGCAAGUAUUAUAGCUUCUUUUUAUAUUCUUAUGCUGAUCAUAUUAUGAUUUUAUUACAGACAAAGAAAACAGCCAAGAAGUUCAAUUACUUGACUUGGUAAAUGAGCACUCAAGGGAAACUUUUAACGGAGAAAGUGGGGAGAGAUCUCGGGAGUUUCCUUCUAUACAGUUGGAUAUUUUACAUGCAGCGACAAAUCACUUUUCUGAUGAAAAUAAGCUGGGACAGGGUGGAUUUGGUCCUGUAUACAAAGUAAUUAUAUAACUUGAAACUUUUAUCUGAGUUGGCUUUAGAACUGAUCUAUGCGAAUUAAGUAUGUGAAUAUUCCUUGCAUUUGAACUUUGAUAUGUUAUGUAAAUGACUGAAUUCUUCCAGGGAACAUUAGCAGAUGGUAAAGAAAUUGCAGUUAAAAGGCUGUCAGAAACUUCCAGUCAAGGUCUUGUUGAAUUCAAGAAUGAAAUCAUGUUAAUUGCUAAACUACAACAUAGAAAUCUUGUGAGGCUCUUAGGAUGUUGCUUAGAGAAAAGUGAGAAGUUGCUUGUAUAUGAAUUCAUGCCCAACAAAAGCCUGGACGUUUUCCUAUUCGGUUUGAUUCUUGAACCUUUAACUAAUAAGAAAAAAAAACAUGACAUAAUUAAUGAAAAUGUACUCAUUUGUUUUUUUUUCUUUUUUUCCACAUUUAUAUCAGAUUCGAAAUUAGCUGCUCAACUGGAUUGGCAGAAACGAUUCAACAUUAUUAAAGGAAUUGCUCGAGGUAUUUUAUAUCUACAUGAAGAUUCUCGUCUAAAAAUUAUACACAGGGACCUUAAAGCAAGUAAUGUUCUACUCGAUUAUGAGAUGAAUCCGAAAAUUUCUGAUUUUGGUAUGGCAAGAAUUUUUGAAGAUAAAAAUGAAGCAAAUACCAAUAGAGUCGUUGGAACAUAGUAAGUAUGCAUAUUUUCAUAACACAUUCCUUUACAGUGAGAGGCUUGUGGGAAUUUUGUUAUUUAAUUAUUUUCUUUGUUUAUAAAAUUUUCUAUGAUAUCAUCUAAUUUUAUUUUAAUAAAUUGUCUCUUUAUUUCUUAUGAAUUAAAAUAGUGGAUAUAUGGCACCAGAAUAUGCUAUGGAAGGACUCUUUUCUAUCAAAUCUGAUGUUUUCAGUUUUGGUGUCCUUUUGUUGGAGAUUAUUAGUGGAAAAAAAGAACAAUGGUUUUCAUCAUUUAGAGCAUGGUGAAAGCUUGUUGACUUUUGUAUGUUCUUUGUCCUCCCUUUUGUCCUCAAACUAUAGAUUAAAUGUUUUAACUAUUCUACUACUAAUUUUAAGCUACAAUUGUAGGCAUGGAAAUUAUGGUCCAAGGGCGAAGGAAUGGAGCUAAUAGAUCAGGUCCUUGUUCCUUCAUGUGUGGCUUCUGAGGUGCUUAAAUGCAUUCAUAUUGGGCUAUUAUGUGUACACGAAGACCCGGCAGACAGACCAACCAUGUCAUCUGUGAUUUUCAUGUUGGCAAGUGAUAGUACCAUAACACUUCUUUGUCCAUCUGAACCAGCAUUUUCCGUUGGGCGUGCAAUUGCAAAGCCAACUGAACCUAUUUCAGGUGAUCGAGUCUUUUCGGUUAAUGAGGUCACAAUUUCAAAUUUCUCACCUCGCUAAUUUGAUUGUUGUACGAACAAUACUAGUUUAUCAAAAAACUUUCAUUUUUAUUUCCCAGUUUGAAUUAACAACUAUGAAUACUAAAGCCAUGAUUUUUAAGAACUUGAACUUGAACAUGAAACUAUAUAUACAUAUAUUUGAAUUUUAAAUUGAGUAUGAAGUUGGUGAUAAAUCAAUUUAAGAAUAUUAAUUUUUUACUUAAUUGUUUUUAAUGUAUCGAAGCACCUAAGAAAGUUGAAAAUUAUAUGGAUUUAUACUUUCUAAAGUAUAUAUAAUUUAGCUAUUCUUUGCGAUUUGCAUAAGGAAACAAACAUAUAGCAGGGAAGAGUGUGAUUUUUAUACUCUUGUAAUGAUAAAGGAGUUGCAAUAAUUUAUUUCAUUAGUUCACACUUAAUCUGGAAUUCAAUUCCAAUAAAAGAAUCCAAUUAACUUCCAAAGAAUAGUCUUACAUCUAGAAAUUAAGAGUUUGGAUACGUGUUACCUUGUGCAAAGUGUCGCUACUUUGUGCAAGUUUCUCAUAUGCUCUUAGAUUAAUUCAAAUUAUAUGGAAAAUUAUAACUGUGUUUGACAAAAUUAUAAAAUUGUAUGAUGUAUGUUGCCCCGACAAUGAAUAUGACAUUUUAUUAUUCAAACCCGACGAUUGAAUCAGGAAAUAGACUGUUUCAUUUAGUAAUACCAGUAACCAUGUCGAUGGAACGCCUUCACUGUCCCAGACAUGGUCAUGUAGCCAACUGCCACAUUGAAUAUUAUUUUUGGUUCACUUCCUCCCCAUCCAUUGAUUGGGAAGCCCUAAACAAAAUACAGCAAGAAUAGUUCAACAUGAGUAAAUUAAUGUUUUUAGUCAUAUUGACAAAGUAAUGACUGACUUGUGUAGCUUCCUUGAACAGAAGCUGCUUUAUCAUCUUCAAUUUGUGAGAACCGGUCAACAAAAUACAGCCACCUUCGACAAUUGAACUUUUAAUUUGUAAGUGAGUUCCUUAAAGAAACUGGCAACGGAAAUUUCAAGAACAACAUUGUUUCUCUUCUUGUUUUCAGAUUUAACAUUUACAUACCUCAUUAUUCUCACCAUUUCCUUCGACCCUUACAUCCAGCGUUAUUGGGCGAACAUCAUCGGUGCUAAACUUUCAACAACUUAAUGAAAUCAUUCUUCAUUCAUUUUUCAUAAUGCUGAUUACAAGGGGUAUUUAAUGCAUGCAGUACAUGCAACCUCACCAGUAACUACUAACCGAAAACUUAACAACUUACUAACUAAUAACAGAAACUGUUACUCCUAACAUGCCCCUUACUUAUCAAUUCUUCUUCUCAUCAAAAACUUAUUGACUUGUAUCAGUAACACAAAGUAGAUCUCGAAACUUAGUGAAAAUUCCCACUGGCAAAGGUUUUGUCAAAACAUCAGCAAUUUGGUCUGAUCCCGAAACAUGGCCAACUUGAAGUACACCAUCUGCAACUUUUUCUCUAACGAAAAACAAAUCCAUCUCUACGUGCUUGAAUUUUGAAUGUAAAACCGGGUUUCCUGCUACUGCAACAGCAGCUGAACUAUCACACCAUAUCAAUGCUUUCCUUGGAACUGGAACAUGCAACUCAGUCAGUAAUGACCGAAUCCAAACCAAUUCUGCAGCGAGAUGAGCAACACUUCUAUAUUCUGCCUCUGCUGUUGACCUAGAGAUCACUUGUUGCUUCCUUGAGCUCCAGGAGAUCGGGUUCCCUCCAAGAAACACACAGAAUCCUGAAGUGGACCGUCGAUCAUCUACAUCCGAACCCCAACUAGCAUCCGAGUAUCCUUCAAGUAAAAACUUCGACGAACGAACAAACUUCAACCCAUAAUUCAGUGUGCCUUGUAGAUAUCUUAAGAUUCUUUUCACAGCUUUGAAAUGCAAAUCCGAAGGUUUAUGCAUAAAUUGACAAACUUUGUUAACAGCAUACGCUAUGUCGGGUCUAGUAAUUACCACAUAUUUCAAAGCACCAACGAUACUUCGAUAAUGACUUUCAUCUUCAACAGGACUCCCAGUAUUAGCAGAAAGAUGACCGGUGGUGACCAUUGGUGUAGGUAAACUAUUUGACUUCUCCAUAGAUGUACGUUGAAGAAGAUCCAGAAUGUAUUUUCUUUGUGUGAGAAACAGCCCUUGUGUAGUGUACUUGACUUCAACUCCAAGAAAGUAACUUAGCUUCCCCAGAUCUUUUAACGAAAACCUGGCAUUUAAUUGAGUAACAAAAUCACCUAUGAACACAGUAUCAUUCCCAGUAAUGAUAAUGUCAUCGACAUAUAUCAACACAUAAAUCAACUGGGACUUGGUUUGAAAAAUGAUAGAGAAUUAUCGGCUUUGGAAACUUCAAACUUCAUGGACACCAGGAAUUCACGAAACUUAUUGAACCACGCCCGUGGUGCUUGUUUGAGACCGUACAAGGCUUUCCGAAGCUUGCAAACUAGCUGCUCACCAUUUGCCCCUCGCUUUUCGAACCCCGGGGGCUGCACCAUGUAGAUAUCUUCACUCAACUCGCCAUUCAAAAAGGCAUUAUUUAUGUCUACCUGUCGAAGUGGCCAGUUAGACGACAUAGCUAAGGCAAGUACAACCCGAAUUGUAGUUGGUUUAACAACCGAGCUGAAUGUUUCUUGAAAGUCGAUACCAGCUUCCUGCAAGUAGCCCUUAACCACAAGCCUACCCUUAUAUCGAGCAAUAGACCCGUCUGCAUGUUUCUUCAGUUUAAAAAUCCAUUUACAACCAACGGCUCGUCGUCCUUUAGGUAGUGGCACGAGAUCCCAGGUUUGGUUAGCUAGCAAAGCAUCAUAUUCCGCUUUAGCAGCGUCUGUCCAUGCCGGGCUUUGAAACGCCUCACUUAUCGUCAAAGGCUCCUUUUCAGCCAAUACCGAAGCUAAAACUUUCGGUUUAAAAAUUCCAUUCUUUGAACGGGUCUGCAUGGGGUGCAUAUUAACAUUCAAAGGAGCUUCAACUUGACAUUCACUCUGUCCAUGUGUCAACGAAAUUUCUGACCGACACUCAUUUGGACCACAUAAUGGAGAAACCUCUGUUGGAAGAGAGAUACCACCUAACGAGCUGGAACAAGGAGGAGUAUGAUGUGAUGGAACUGAAGAACAUGCCAUUGGAGAUGUCCUAACCAAUCGUGUGUCUGCUUGUGUUAAACCUAUUUCAGGAAAAUUAUGACGCAUAAUAAUAGGGAGCAUGGUCUGCUGUUUACAAGAGUCCUUCAUGACAUUGUUGUGGAACUUUGAACAAAAACCACCAUGGAACGGAAAUCUUUCCUCAUCAAACCGAACGUGCCGAGAAAGAUACACCCUACCAUCAUCAACAAGACACCGAAACCCUUUUAUAUUCGGGGUACUCCCAAGAAAAACACAAACUUUUGACCUGUACUGUAGCUUGUAUUGCUGAAAAGGUCUCAAAUCAGGAUAGCAAGCACAGCCAAACACCCGAAGAGUAGUAUAGUCAGGUUUGUUACCAUGAAGUUUCUCAUACGGACUCAUUUGAUGUAAAACUAAGGUAGGCAGUCUAUUUACUAAAUAAACAGCAUGUGCAAAAGCAUAAUACCAGAACUUCAAUGGUACACCAGAUUGAGCUAGAAGAGAUAAUCCCAUAUCAACAAUUUGUCUAUGCUUCCUUUCAGCCACUCCGUUCUGCUCGGAGGUGUAUGGACAAGUAACCCUAUGUUGAAUACCCAGUCGAGAAAACUCUUUUGUCAAAACACGAUAUUCUCUCCCACCAUUUGUUUGGAACAUCUUGAUAGAACAACCAAAUUGAGUUUUUACCAUCUGAUGAAAAUUAGCAAAACAAGAAGCAACCUUAGAUUUAUUUUUAAGAAAGUAGAUCCAAGUAUAUCUACUGUACAUGUCAACAAAGGACACGUAAUAGCAAAACCCAUUGGAAGGCACAUGAGCUGGCCCCCAUACAUCAGAAACUACAAGCUCAAAAGGAAUCUUGUACACUGUAGUGGAAGCAGGAAAAGAAAGCUUUUGAGCCUUGCCCAUUUGGCAGGCCGUACAUGUAGUAGGUAAACUAUUUUGUACAAACGAGAUUUUACAAGAUUUUAACACUUGAGACAAGACAUUAGAGCACGGAUGUCCAAGUCUAUUGUGCCAUAAAACUGCAGAGGAAAGUUGGGUACUGUUUAUUGAGCACGAACUAGGCUUCGAAAGAAAACUUGUACUAUCGAGAGUAGACUUGGACAGCUGAAAAUGGUAGAGACCUUCAUGCGUGUGGCCCUCGAGAAGGAUCUUCCCUGUCUGAAUGUCCUUCACAAAACAGAGAAAAGGAUGAAACUCAAAAAAGACACCGUUAUCUUUUGCAAACUGUCCCACAGAUAACAAAUUUUUGCACACUGUAGGAACAUGUAACACACGAUGAAGAUGAAGAAGCCUAGAGCCAGCCAGAAUAUUAGAAGAUCCUAUAUUAGCGAUAGGUGUUGACUUACCAUUGCCCAUAACAACCUGACCUGCACCUGUAUAAGGAGUCACUGACAUAAGAGCGGAUCUGUCAGGUGUAACAUGAUUUGUUGCACCAGAAUCUGGAUACCAGGUUUGAUCAGCUGAUGAUGACGAUGAAGUUGACAGUCGAGAGCACGAACCAGAACAAUUAAGUACAUAAGAGCAAGCCGUGGAGGAAGGAGCAAACUCGUGCACUUGAUGAAAAUUGACUGAAGGGUUUUGUCCAAAAUAAUUCUCAUCAAAUCGAUGAUAACAAUUUUGUACAAUAUGACCAACCUUACCACAAAGUUGACACUGUGGUCUAGAACGAGACCAUCCUCGACCAGUGCCUCUAGUUCUGCCACGCGACCAACUGCGAGUCGAACCACGAAAACCUUGUUUUGAGUCCUGAGCAUAAGAAGGUUUCGAACUAUCUGCAUCAUCUUGAUAUUUAGUUAAGUUUGCCUGCAAAGGAGUUUCUGACAAAACAGCCAACUGUCUAGCCUCAAAAUCAAGAAGCAUAUCAGUCAGCAAGUCCAACGAAACUGAAGCCGCAGACGCAAAAACACGAAUAGACUCAUAUUCAAUGGGAAGCCCUGACAGAAUAACACUAACUUGCUCUUUUUCCAUAACAUCACUGCCAACAGCUGUUAAGCUAUUAGUAAGAGUCUUGACCUUAUGCAAAUAUUCUUUAACAUUUAAACUACCUUUCUUGAUCAAGUAUAAUGCAUAACGCAUACUCGAGAUCUUAAUAUUCGACGUAGCGCCAAACCUUCUUUCAAUGGUGUUCCAAAUAUCAAGACUCAUUUUAGCUGCAGUUAGAUGAACCAAAACCUCAUCCGUGACAGUCGAAACAAGCCAAGCAGCAAGAAACUUAUCCUGUUUCUUAUGAAUAAGAAAACGAGGAUUAUCAACAACACGACCAUCAGCCUCUACAAGAACAGCAGGAGGAACAGAAACCGUGCCCAAAACAAAGCCUUCAAACCCAUAUCCUUCAAGAAUCAACAACAACUGAUGUUUCCACAGCAAGAAAUUAUGGUCUGCAAGUUUGACCGUGUCAUGCUUGGUAAAAUAUUGAACGGUUGAAGAUCCACCAACGCCAAGAUCCUGCGACUGAGUUGCUCCACCAAUAUUUGAAGAAUUAUGCGGAGUAUCUGCACUUGGCUCCAUGAGAAAACAAAAAAACAACAAAACUAUUUGAUGAGAAAAAAAAAAUUGGCUCUUGAUACCAUGCUAAACUUUCAACAACUUAAUGAAAUCAUUCUUCGUUCAUUUUUCAUAAUGCUGAUUACAAGGGGUAUUUAAUGCAUGCAGUACAUGCAACCUCACCAGUAACUACUAACCGAAAACUUAACAACUUACUAACUAAUAACAGAAACUGUUACUCCUAACAAUCGGCAACUACACCGCCAAUAGUGCCUACGAGUGUGACCUGAAUAGAAUCUUCAAGGAGAUCACCUCUAUAACAAAAUCCAAUUAUGGGUUUUACAGCAACAAGGUCGGCAAAGUCAACGCCAUGGCACUUUGCAGAGCAGAUGUUAAGCUAGAUGUUUGCUCUAGUUGUUUAAACGAAACUAUAUCAAGGGUCAAGCUGGAUUGUCCUAGCAACAAAGAAGCCAUCGGAUGGUCUGCGGAUUGCACGUUACGGUACUCGAACACAAACCUCUCUGAGAUUGGAAAUUGAUCCUCAAACAUGUCUAUAUAAUACAGGCUCUACAGCUGAUGAGUACUUUCAGCUCAGACUCGGAGAGUUGUUGAGUGACCUGCGUAGUAAAGCAGCAGCAGGGGGUGCUCUGCUUAAGUACGCGGCAGGUAACUCAUCGCUGAGUGCUUUGGAAAGGUUACACGCUCUAGUGCAGUGCACUCCUGAUUUGUCUGAAAUGUUAAUGUGAAAUCAUGUUAACGUGAAGGAUGAAAACGAGUGAAGAUAGAAAAUUUGUUAAUUUAUAAUUUUUUUCUUACUUGGUAGCUUAAGCAAUAGAUUGAAAAAAAAUUCAUCUUCACUCUUUUCAAUCCUUAGUACUAAAUAAAGCUUAAAUUACAUGGAAAUCUAGUAAGACUUGUAGGAUGUUAUUCAGGGGAAAAUAGAAAGUUACUUGUAUAUGAAUUGAUGCCUAACAGAAGCCUGGACGUCAUUUUGUUCGGCUUGAUCCUACAUCUAUAUCUUAUUUGAAAUUGGACUAGAUUGAAAGAAAAUAUCUAAUAUUAUUAAAGGAAUUGUCCGAGGUUUUUUUAUGUUAGAAUUAUAAACUAAAAUAUCUUUAAAUUAUAUAAUUUAUUUUAAAUAAAAAAUAUCAUUUAUAUAAUUUUCUAAUCGAGUUGGUGUGCAAUUUACUCACCAACUUAAUCCAAAAAUUUAUUAAUAGAAUUGAUGCAAUAACUUCAAAUUUAAGUUACAAUUUUUGGUAUAGAAACUAUGGUCUAAGGGUGAAGGAAUGGAGCUAAUAGAAAAGCUUUCUAUCUCGUCUAAUGUGGCUUAUGUGCCUAAAUGCAUUCAAAUUUAUUUAUGGUGUGUGCAAGAAGACCCAUUGUGAUUGUCAUGUUGGCAAGUGAUACUAUAAAGUUUCCUGGUUCAGUUGAACAAGCAUUUUCUGUUGUACAUAUCAUUGCAAAACCAAUUGAGCACAUUUCAAAUGAUGAAGUUUUUUUUAUUAACGAAGUCACAACUUCAAAAUUUUCAAUUGGCUGAUUUCAUCACUAUUCUAAUUUUAACAAUAUAUAUUUGAAUGUAAAAAUUAGUAUAAAGUUGAUAAUGAAUCAAUUUAUGAUUAUUAUUUUUAGUUUAUGGAAAGCACUUGAAUUAGUAAAGGUCAAACUCGCAUUAAUUUAUACUCUCAUUUCAAUUAGUUUUGUAAUUUUUUUUUAACAAUCUCAUUAUAAAUUAUAAUUAUAUCUAUUUUUUUUACACAAUACUUAAAAUUAUUUAUAGUCCGUCCCCAACCUACAAAUAGAAGGAUAAUGCGUUUCAACGCACUCAAACCAACAACCUUCUGCAUUGUUAACAAUGCCCAUACCAAUCAAGUUAAAAUUUAAUCGGCAAUCAACUCUGCAAAUUAUAUCGCAAUUAGCAAACAUAUCAUACUGAAGAAGCAAACUACAUGAUUAUUAAACAUGAGUUAUUUGAUUUUAUUUUAAUUUGAAAAUAUAAAAUAAAAUUUUAAAUUUUGUAAACAAUAAUUUAUUUAAUUGAUUUUGAUGUUUUGAAAUUUAAAUUUUCAAUAUUUUAGGGUAAACAAGUAGAAUAUGCAAAAGAAAUUAUAUAUUAUUUUAAUUUAUACCUUUUUUUCACUUUAAUCUUUAUUUUUUUUACUCCGAUCAAAUACUUUAAAAAAUUAUUCUUUUGUGUAACCAAAAUAAAAGCUGUUUAAAAGUUGAAUGGCUAAAAUGAAAAUAUAAAUAUGAUGUGACGCACUUAAAUGACCAAAAUGAAAAUACAGUAAAAAUUGAAUGACAAAACUCGACAAUUUACCUAAAAUCGUCUCUAUUCUAACACACAUUUAUAUCUUGUUGGUGUUUUACUCAAAUUCAAAAUUCUAUGUAACUUUUUUCAAAAUAUAAAUAUCGCAUUUGAUCAUUAAAAUGAAUAAUUUAAAUUUAAAUCAACACGAAUCAAAUUAAUUUCAAUUCAAAAUAACUCAAACUAAAACUACUCUCGAAAUCUAACUUAAUAUUAUUUAAUCUGAAGCCAAGGGCGAAGUCAGAAUAAUUUUUUAGGGGGAGUUGGAUGAAAUUUUAAUUUUUUAUAGUCUAUUUUAUAACUUUAUUAAAUUAAAUUUUUAUAAUUUUAAGAGUUCAAAGUAUAAUUUUACUUUUAUUAAUUUAAAAUUUUAAAAGUUAAAUAAUAAUUUUACAUUUUAAAUGUCUGAACCUAUAAUUAUUAAAAAUUUAAAUGAUUUAAAUAUUAAACCACUCAAAUCCAAUCCAAAUAUUAAAAUUCAAACAGAUGGUAUUCAAAUUUAUCUAACCAGAUUAGAUUACAUGUGUAUACUACACAGUCUUGUUUACAUGUCAUGAUGUUCAAAAAUCAAAGUCAAAAUGCAGAGUGCAGUGCUUUCACCAUCCCGGACUAACUGCCACAUCGUAUAUUAUUUUAUCUUUCACUUUCAUCCCAUCCAUUCAUUGCGUACCCAACUCUUCUUCCUUGUAGACUAAUAUAAAUAAAAUUGUAAAAAUUAUUGUAGACUAAAUUCAUAAUUUUUACAAUUUUAUUUCAUAGUAGUUAAAUUUUUUUUUUGUUAAAUUCAAUUAUUAAUCUUGUAUUAUAUGUAGAGUUGUAGAUUUGAUCCAUAUUCUUCAAUUGAAUUAUUCUAAAUUUUUUUAAAAUUUUGAAAUUUCAAUCUUCACCCAAUUAUAAUCCGAUCUUUUAGUGAGUAAUAUAUAGAAAUAAUAAAAUUUUAUGGUAUUACAUUAUGACAAUAUGUUUGACUCAAAUUUUAGAAAUAGUUAACAAUUAAAUUUGAAAAGCUCGAAGACUAAAAAUGAUUAAAUUAAAGUAUAGAAAUUAAAUUCAUAAUUUUCACAAAAUACAAGGACUAAUAGCAGAAUUUACCAAAAAAUUAAUGAACUUGACUCAAAAUUUUCGUAGCAAGGAUCAAAGAAGCUUCCGCAAUGGAAGAAAAAUCACCCAUAUCAUAAUUUCAAGACAAGAACCCAGAUUUAUAUGGUUGAUCUCUCUUGUCUUAUGAUCCAAGAUAUAGAAAGGAGAUUACUUUAAUUAGAACAAAAAUUAUGCAAAUCUCCACAGUUUCCAUAAACCUGUUGCUGUUAGUAAUAGUACUUUCCUUGUUUAACCCUGCAAUUGAAGCUCAGCAGCCUACUUAUCUGUACCACUCUUGUCCAAACACCACCACUUUCACCGUAAACAGCACUUACCAAGCCAACCGCAAUACCGUCUUAUCAUCGCUGUCGUCUAAUAGCACCCGUGGUGAUGGUUUCUACA
rnacentral:lncRNA from 1 species